UGUUCUGUAGCUUAGUUGGUUAAAGCGCCGGUCUAGCGUACACGUAGUCGUGAGUUCGAGUCUCACUAGAACGC
rnacentral:tRNA from 1 species